rnacentral:tRNA from 1 species
AUACACACAUGGCUCCCCCCACACCCUCCUUGUACACUCCUCCAUCACUUCAUCAUCACUGCCCAUUCAAAUAAGGUAUGUCAAGCCUCAGCAGCCAUGUAUAAGCUGACCUAGAGCCAGAGAACUGGAGACAGAAUGAAGUGGAAUUCCUGCUUUGUCCUGGCACAUCUAGGUCUGAAUACAUGAUAGAUUCACAUGUUGUUUUAGCAUUAGCUAAGAAAGCCUCUUUGUAUAGGGUGAGAGGUAAAGGAUGCUCCUAUAUACAUAUGUAUAUAUGUAUGUGAUGUGUGUGUGUGUGUGUGUGUGUGUGUGUGUGGCAACAAGCAAGAAAGAUAAAAAAUGAGCUAGCAAAGAAAAAUCGUGUGCCCAACAUAUGAAGAAAGAAACAUUGGGUACAUAGAAACCACUGCCCAGUUACUUACCUGCCCCAAAACAUGCCCUCCUCCCUGUCCCUCUCCCUUCAUCUUCUUUAGCAGUUCCCUUUCAUUCUGACAUGUAGCAUGGCACAUAUUAGAUGUGCCUAGAUAUUUUGGACUUUUAGAGAGGGUCACCCACUUACAUUAACCCUUGCUUUUUUAGAUAAAGAAGUAGGUUCCUUUGAUCAGGUCAAAUUCAGAAAGGUAGACACAGGAAGAGUCCAGUUCCCCUGUCUUUUACCCUCCCUAAUGGUGAGUGCUAUAGCUUAUUUAUCUUACCCUUCCAGCAAUGCCUGAAGUCUUAAAGGGAGAGACUAUGUCUCAUAACCUUGAACUGAGUGUCACCAUAAACACUAUUUAUUGUGGUUAAUGAAACUGUUCUCAAAUCCUACUUGCAACAAGUCAUUAAAAAGCCAGUAUAAGUGACCAACCAUUCAGUGACUACCAAGUACCUUAAUAUACAUGCAAAGAACUUCAUUUGCCUUUUUGUUAUGUGAUUUAAAGGUUUUUUUUUUUCAACCUAAACAACAGAGUAAUUCCAUAGGAGAAAGAUGAAGGGGCAGGCUAAGGAGGAUGCCCAUUGGUAAACACUUCUUGAUUUGUGUCACCACAGUGGCUGACAAGGCUGCCUAUCUCCAGUGUCUGAACUCUGCUGAUCUGCUCAAAGCCCUCUGCUAUCCCAGGGUCAAGGUUGGCAAUGAAUAUGUCACCAAAGGCCAGACGGUUCAACAAGUGUAUAAUGCGGUGGGUGCCCUGGCCAAGGCUGUCUAUGAGAAGAUGUUCCUGUGGAUGGUCACCCGCAUCAACCAGCAGCUGGACACCAAGCAGCCCCGGCAGUACUUCAUCGGGGUCUUGGACAUCGCUGGCUUUGAGAUCUUUGAUUUCAACAGCCUGGAGCAGCUGUGCAUCAACUUCACCAAUGAGAAACUGCAACAGUUUUUCAACCAACACAUGUUCGUGCUGGAGCAGGAGGAGUACAAGAAGGAAGGCAUCGAGUGGACCUUCAUCGACUUCGGGAUGGACCUGGCGGCCUGCAUCGAGCUCAUUGAGAAGCCACUGGGCAUCUUCUCCAUCCUGGAAGAAGAGUGCAUGUUCCCUAAGGCGACAGACACCUCCUUCAAGAACAAGCUGUACGACCAACAUCUGGGAAAAUCCAACAACUUCCAGAAGCCCAAGCCUACCAAAGGCAAGGCCGAGGCCCACUUCUCCCUGGUGCACUAUGCGGGCACUGUGGAUUACAACAUCACCGGCUGGCUGGACAAGAACAAGGACCCCCUGAAUGACACCGUGGUGGGGCUGUACCAGAAGUCAGCAAUGAAAACUCUGGCCAGCCUCUUUUCCACAUACGCUAGUGCUGAAGCAGGUACUUCUGGUGCCCUACAUCCAAAUCAAACCAUUCCCGCAGGAUGCUCCUACACCGCUCUGACCCUAGGGAACCCACUUUACUGAUGCGUUUUCUUUUUAUCUCAGAUGGUGGUGCAAAGAAAGGAGCUAAGAAGAAGGGCUCUUCUUUCCAAACUGUGUCAGCCCUUUUCAGGGUAAAGUAUAAAUUUAGAUUGGGAAAAAAAGUAUAUUCAGUUUCUAUGUAUUAUAUCUGUGCAAUUUAGAAUAAAUUAGGAGGGAAUGGGAUAGAGAUAAGAAUCACUUUCAACAUUCACUCAUCAGGAUCGAUCUAAAGCAAUACUUGGGCAGGGGUGGGAGCUUUAUUCUUUAUUCCUUAUUAUGAUUACCUGCGGAAUUUAGGAAUGCCAAUAUGUCCUUAGAAGCUGUGAAGCUUCUUAGGCAUUAAACACAUACACACACACACACACGAGCAUGUGAAUAGAUACCAAUAAUAAUAAGGAUGCUUUUUUUUUUUACUUUUUUUAUUAGGUAUUUUCUUCAUUUACAUUUCAAAUGCUAUCCCAAAAGUCCCCCAUAUCCUUCCCCCACUCCCUUACCCACCCACUCCCACUUCUUGGCCCUGGUGUUCCCCUGUACUGAGGCAUAUAAAGUUUGCAAGACCAAGGGGCCUCUCUUCCCAAUGAUGGCUAACUAGGCCAUCUUCUGCUACAUAUGCAGCUAGAGACACGAGCUCCGGGGUACUGGUUAGUUCAUAUUGUUGUUCCACCUAUAGGGUUGCAGACCCCUUUAGCUCCUUGGGUACUUUCUCUAGUGAAACACUUCUGAACCUCAGUGUGAUUAUUCCUUGUGAGGGUUGUGUUCCAAUCCCAUUAACAGUGCCUUUUGAGAAGACUUGAGAUUUCCUUUGUUCUCUUUGGGACAAUAUCUUCCUAUGUAGGUCAAGCUGACCUUGAACUUGUGAACUUAGUACCUCAGACUCCAGGGUUCUAGAUUCUAGGCAUGGGCCACCUUGGCCAGGAUUGAAGUUUCCUUUGAAAAUGAGCAGGUAUUAUUUAAAACAUGCUCCCCCUGAGGUGGAUGGAUCAGACAAAAGUCACUAAAACCGAGCCUAGUGAUCUAAAUUGAUGGGUAAACUACCAAAGAAUAAAACUUCUAUUUACAAAAUAGUGAAGCUUUUCCAUUAUAUACGUGAACAUUCCCAUAAUGCAAUUAUAACUCUUCCACAGCAUAGCUCUUGCUGAGAGGAGCACGUAAGGUGUCUAGUCUAAGGCCUCCUUGUGAGGAUUUUGAUCCCUCAUUGCUUUCAAAACUAAAACACUAGAUGGUUUGUUGGUCUAGUGGUAUGAUUCUCAGUUUGGGUUUGAGAGGUCCUGGGUUCAAAUCCCAGACGAGCCCCCCUUUUCCUCAACUUCCAUUUGUAAUUUGCCUACUUCCAUUCUAAUUUGCCUACACCACAGUACCAGAUAACAAGUUGAAGAAAGGGCUAAAAGUCCAAAACUAAAAUGUAGGUGUGACCAAUUGAAUGACCUUUGGCCUAACCAGAAAAUUUGGUCUUAUCUUUUUUCCGUUUCACUUAAAUCUACAUUAUCCAACAAAACAUAAGGUUGCUUUGUAAACUUGUCUAUAAAGGCAUUUUCAGGCUUAGAUCUUCACAUUAUUUGUUUUGAUUUCCUAGUGGCUGAGAUGCGUGGGGAAAGCAUAUGUGAGAGAUGUCUACAAGUACGUUCUUUACGGCUGAACGACCACUCUCCAUCAUAAUCAAUUACUCCCCCAUAGACUCUAGGCAGAAAAUGUUUUCAAGCACCUAAGAUCCACCCACACAGAAUUACAUUGACUCACACUUUACACUCUUCUGAAAACAAAACAAGAAAUUAUUGGAUUGAGAAAGGCUAAAAUGAUUGCAGAGCUGGGUUUUCACUGGAACUUGCCAGGUACUGUGAAAGUUAUGCUGAAGACAAGAGAGGCCACAGAGGUCAUCUGCACUGUUUUCACACGAGGCCCAGGGAGACACAGGAUGGCACGUAGUCAGCCUAGUGGCAGAGACAGCCUAUGGUCAGUCUUCUGAUGCUGGCUGAGAAUACUGCUUGUGUAUGGAGGCCAGUGACCAUGCUGUCCGGACCUAGGUGCUGUAAUGGGCACCUUGGUCAUCUGCAUUUCUUCCCAGCAUUUUGGCCUUCUGACCAUUUAAGCAGCUUACAUGCUGAAAGCCUUUCAAGAUGCAUAGCCGUUACAGCCUCAUAAGCUUAUGUCCAGUAGGUAAGAGUGUGCUGUAUAAUUUUUUUACC